CACACGCGCACCUCCAAAACUCAGCAACAGCACCAGAAUAUACUUCAACGAAUCAGUUCAACUAACUGAGUGUCACAAUCGUACAGCGGUGGAGUUUAUUGAUCAGAAUCAAACACAAUGGCAGAUUAUUAUCAUCAUAUCUGCUCUGAUGAACGGGCUUCUGAUCAUCGUACUGAUCGGACUAUUGAAUGUUUUUGUUGGAAUCAGAAGAUCAGCAGAACAAUCAGAACUCAACGCUGAUCUACAGCAGACGCAAGUUACAGAACAGCAUCAGGACUAUUUACACUUACAAAACUGUGAAUCCAUUCUUAUUACAAAAAUUAAUUUCUGUCUUGAUAAUUAUUGAUGGUUCUUGCUGACCCAUACAAUAUCUUUCUAUAACACUUUUGGCUCAUUUUUGUUCAGCUGCAACUGAAAUAGAAUAGAAUUUUCAGAAUGCCACGAUGGACUUUUCUAAACUGUGUAAAAAUACUUUUUUUUUCGCUCUAAACCUGCUGAACACAUGAGUAUGACUGAAUUUACGCUUAUUUUGUUGACUUUUUCUUGAUUUUGGGGCCUGCAGGAAAGUUCAGGAAAGAAAAAAAAAUAAAUAAAUAAAAAAGUAAAAAUAAAUAAAUUUACAAACAAGCUAAAAAUCGCAAGUCAUGAGGUAAUCACAAUUAUUGUCUUCAAACGACAGUUGUAGUUUUAUAUAUAUUUUUCC